UCCCUGAAAAACCAGAUGGCACAAGUUACUCAGAAGAGAUGAAAGGGUUUUCCAUAAUUCAACUAGGAGGAGGAAGAGGAAGUGUGGGAGUAAUUACUGGAUUAAGAUCACUGAAAGACAAGGUUGUCUUUAAGGUAAUGUGAAAUGAUGAAAUGUCUCCAUGAUGAUAUGAAGUGAAGUGAAUGACAUAGGCACUGUAAUGCAGCAUUAGGCUACUACAGUAUUGACCUUCUGACCAUACAUCAGAAAGAGGAUCAUCUGCUUCUGGUGAUCCUGGAUUAUCAAGCCAUGACAAUGUUGAUGGUUGCAUGUCAGGAGCAGAUAAUAUUGAUGACUAACAGGCUGAUGAUUACUGGAGACAUCUGAGCUUUGGAUAAGAAGAACCUCUGAGAGUUAAACUAUUAAAUCAACACACAAUGAAUCAUGAUAAAGGAGGAAACAGAAGACUGAGAAGAAAAGAAGCUUGUUCAAGGUCACAUAGAGCUGGAAUUUAAAUUCAGAUCUAUUAUAUUCUUAAAAACUGUGGAAGAGUUUUUCAACACUAGACUGGCUGAUACAACUCUUCUGCACACUCUGGUGUUUGUGUCUGUCACUCUGCACACUCUGGUGUUUGUGUCUUCUGGUGAUCCUGGAUUAUCAAGCCGUGACAAUGUUGAUGGUUGCAUGUCAGGAGCAGAUAAUAUUGAUGA